rnacentral:tRNA from 1 species
GUCCCUGUAGCUCAGCAGGAUAGAGCAAGCGCCUCCUAAGCGCUAGGUCGGUGGUUCAAAUCCACUCAGGGACGCCA